CUUCUAGUCUGAGGAAACAGGACCAGCUGAGGAAUUGGCAAGCUACCAUGAAGUGAGUAGUUACGGUUAUAAAGGGCCUGCAUACCCGGCGAGCACUUCCCAUGAUGCAAUGCUUUACCACAGGCUCCAUGCAGCAGGCCCAGGUAACAGGUAAAGACUGCUCAAGGCAUAUAUUUGGAUGAAGAACAUCUCAUAAUACUAGACAAUAUGUUGUUUUUAUUUCAAGAAAUGAAUCUGGGCUGCUGAGUUGGUUCAUGAUGUCUGGAAUUUAGUUUGGAGGAUAAGGCCUCUUUCAUGGCCAUGUCUACCUUGACCUCAUGGACUCAUUGAUGUUCUUCCCUGCGCCUCUCAGAAAAACCUCCACGGCCUGCUGUGAGCACCUCUGGGUUUGGGUCACUGCACUGUCUCUGUCUGAUGCAUGUGCGCCUCUCCUGGGUCUGCCUGCCCGUUCACAGAUGGAUUUCAGCAUCCAGAGACGCCAGGAGAUCACAGGCAUUUGGAAGAAUGCACUGGUAAAGCCAUCUGAAUGGUUUCCUGGGUAAGAGUCCUGCUGGUGCCACGCUUGCUUUUUCUAGUCAUUCUCUAACCUGCUGGGCGUUGAGGAUCCCCUGCCUCCCUCCCUCUUUUUUAAAAAACUUCUUUUUCCAUUUUAAAGCCAUUUUCAAGCAUCAAAAUGAAAUUAAAUACCAUUAUGGAAAAUUUCUGGAGUGUACAUACAUUAAUUCCCUCAUGUAAAAUUCUAGCUAUAAUUUAACGUAUCAGGAAUCAGGUUACUUCUCUGCACAAUACAUUUAAAUGGAUGAAAUAGAAAUGUGUGCAGGUGUGAUAAAUAUCCUUUCCGUUUUGUACAAACAAAAUAGGAGUUCUGUGUCUGUGAGCCAAGGACAGAUUUGCUUAUUUGUUAGAUUUCUAAAAAUUCUCUUUCCCUGAUAGGCCUCUGGAGGUUGGUAAAAAUAAGCAUUGUAAUUAAACAAAUGGAAACAGUGUGGCU